rnacentral:rRNA from 1 species
UACGUAGGGUGCAAGCGUUAAUCGGAAUUACUGGGCGUAAAGCGUGCGCAGGCGGUUUUGUAAGUCUGUCGUGAAAUCCCCGGGCUCAACCUGGGAAUUGCGAUGGAGACUGCAAGGCUAGAAUCUGGCAGAGGGGGUAGAAUUCCACGUGUAGCAGUGAAAUGCGUAGAGAGUGUGGAGGAACACCCGGUGGCGAAGGCAGAUCUCUGGGCCGUUA